GAUGAACGCUGGCGGCGUGCCUAAUACAUGCAAGUCGAGCGAACAGACGAGGAGCUUGCUCCUCUGACGUUAGCGGCGGGCGGGUGAGUAACACGUGGAUAACCUACCUAUAAGACUUGGAUAACUUCGGGAAACCGGAGCUAAUACCGGAUAAUAUAUUGAACCGCAUGGUUCAAUAGUGAAAGACGGUUUUGCUGUCACUUAUAGAUGGAUCCGCGCCGCAUUAGCUAGUUGGUAAGGUAACGGCUUACCAAGGCGACGAUGCGUAGCCGACCUGAGAGGGUGAUCGGCCACCCUGGAACUGAGACGCGGUCCAGACUACUACGGGAGGCAGCAGUAGGGAAUCUUCCGCAAUGGGCGAAAGCCUGACGGAGCAACGCCGCGUGAGUGAUGAAGGUCUUCGGAUCGUAAAACUCUGUUAUUAGGGAAGAACAAAUGUGUAAGUAACUAUGCACGUCUUGACGGUACCUAAUCAGAAAGCCACGGCUAACUACGUG
rnacentral:rRNA from 1 species